UAUUGAACUCAAUACCUGCAAGUCACCAGAUCCUCUCUGCUCUUUGAAGUUGAGCAGAAUCAACCCUGGUUAGUACUUGGGUGGGAGACCACCAGUGAAUACCGGAGACUGCGGUCU
rnacentral:rRNA from 1 species